rnacentral:tRNA from 1 species
CCCCUUGUAGUCUAGUGGUUAGAAUUCUGCGGUCUCACAGCCGCGGCCCGGGUUCGAUUCCCAUUCCGGGAA